AGCAGCCGCGGUAAUUCCAGCUCCAAUAGCGUAUAUUAAAGUUGUUGCAGUUAAAAAGCUCGUAGUUGAAUUUCAGGAUCAAUUUAUUGGUCGUGCUAUUGUACGUACUGGUAUUAUUGAUUCCUACCUUCUGACGAACCAUGAUGUCAUUAAUUUGGUGUCAUGGGGAAUCAGGACUGUUACUUUGAAAAAAUUGAGUGUUUAAAGCAGGCUCACGCUUGAAUACAUUAGCAUGGAAUAACGAAAUAGGACGUUUGAUUCUAUUUUGUUGGUUUCUAGGAUCGACGUAAUGAUUAAUAGGGAUAGUUGGGGGCAUUAGUAUUCAAUUGUCAGAGGUGAAAUUCUUGGAUUUAUUGAAGACUAACUACUGCGAAAGCAUUUGCCAAGGAUGUUUUCAUUAAUCAAGAACGAAAGUUAGGGAUCGAAGACGAUCAGAUACCGUCGUGGUCUUAACCAUAAACUAUGCCGACUAGGGAUCGGAUGAUGUUAAUUUUUAUGUACUCAUUCGGCGUACC
rnacentral:rRNA from 1 species